AGAGUUUGAUCAUGGCUCAGAUUGAACGCUGGCGGCAGGCCUAACACAUGCAAGUCGAGCGGAUGACGGGAGCUUGCUCCUUGAUUCAGCGGCGGACGGGUGAGUAAUGCCUAGGAAUCUGCCUGGUAGUGGGGGACAACGUUUCGAAAGGAACGCUAAUACCGCAUACGUCCUACGGGAGAAAGCAGGGGACCUUCGGGCCUUGCGCUAUCAGAUGAGCCUAGGUCGGAUUAGCUUGUUGGUGAGGUAAUGGCUCACCAAGGCGACGAUCCGUAACUGGUCUGAGAGGAUGAUCAGUCACACUGGAACUGAGACACGGUCCAGACUCCUACGGGAGGCAGC
rnacentral:rRNA from 1 species